GACGAACGCUGGCGGCGUGCCUAAUACAUGCAAGUCGAGCGGACGGAUGGGAGCUUGCUCCCAGACCGUCAGCGGCGGACGGGUGAGUAACACGUGGGCAACCUGCCUGUAAGACUGGGAUAACUCCGGGAAACCGGGGCUAAUACCGGAUAACUCUUUCCCUCACAUGAGGGAAAGCUGAAAGAUGGCAUCUCGCUAUCACUUACAGAUGGGCCCGCGGCGCAUUAGCUAGUUGGUGAGGUAACGGCUCACCAAGGCGACGAUGCGUAGCCGACCUGAGAGGGUGAUCGGCCACACUGGGACUGAGACACGGCCCGGACUCCUACGGGAGGCAGCAGUAGGGAAUCUUCCGCAAUGGACGAAAGUCUGACGGAGCAACGCCGCGUGAGUGAUGAAGGUUUUCGGAUCGUAAAACUCUGUUGUCAGGGAAGAACAAGUACCGGAGUAACUGCCGGUACCUUGACGGUACCUGACCAGAAAGCCACGGCUAACUACGUG
rnacentral:rRNA from 1 species